GAGUUUGAUCGUGGCUCAGAUUGAACGCUAGCGGGAUGCCUUACACAUGCAAGUCGAACGGCAGCACGGACUUCGGUCUGGUGGCGAGUGGCGAACGGGUGAGUAAUGUAUCGGAACGUGCCUAGUAGCGGGGGGAUAACUACGCGAAAGCGUAGCUAAUACCGCAUACGCCCUACGGGGAAAGGCAGGGAGUCGCAAGACCUUGCACUAUUAGAGCGGCC
rnacentral:rRNA from 1 species